rnacentral:rRNA from 1 species
UACAGAGGGUGCGAGCGUUUAAUCGGAAUUACUGGGCGUAAAGCGCACGUAGGUGGCGACGUAAGUCGGGUGUGAAAGCCCCGGGCUCAACCUGGGAAUUGCAUUCGAGACUGCAUUGCUGGAGUACGGAAGAGGAAGGCGGAAUUCCCGGUGUAGCGGUGAAAUGCGUAGAUAUCUGGAGGAACACCGGUGGCGAAGACGGCAUCCUGGACCGGUAUUGACACUGAGGCGCGAAAGCCAGGGGAGCAAACGGG